rnacentral:lncRNA from 1 species
AUGGUCAUGCUGUAUUUGACAGCACUAGAGCCAUAGCUCAUGCUAAGAAAUCGAAGUUCUAUCAGCUUAUCGAGUACAUUCAGCAUCGCUACCAUCUUAUCUGGGAGAUCAUGGAUCAAAGUAACAUCGACUUUUAGAAGAUCGACAGAAAAAAGAAUCUGAUCGAUCCAUUUACUGAAGCCUCAGUAUUAAGGAGUUCGAUGAUUAUAAAUCGAAGAUGGAUAUAAAAUACUAUACUGAUUGACUUUAGUCCA